rfam:Ficedula albicollis isolate OC2 chromosome 13, whole genome shotgun sequence.
GUGCCGAUGGCAGUGCCAUUCCCAGAGCUAUAAACAGUGUCAUUGUCAUAGCUCUGGGAAUGGUUCUGCCAUAAGCAC